GGUUCUGUAGCUCAGUUGGUAGAGCAGCGGCCUGAAGAGCCGCGUGUCACUGGUUCAAGUCCAGUCGGAACCACCA
rnacentral:tRNA from 1 species